GUCCACGCCCUAAACGAUGCUAACUCGAUGUUUGGUCUAUAAGAUUGAGCAUCCAAGCGAAAGCGUUAAGUUAGCCACCUGGGGAGUACGACCGCAAGGUUGAAACUCAAAGGAAUUGACGGGGUCCGCACAAGCGGUGGAGCAUGUGGUUUAAUUCGAUGAUACGCGAGGAACCUUACCUAGGCUAGAAUGUGAGCGCUAUCUGGUGAAAGCCGGAGUUCCUUCGGGACGCGAAACAAGGUGCUGCAUGGUUGUCGU
rnacentral:rRNA from 1 species